UUCCUAUUAGCUUAGAUGAUAAAGAAUCUGUCUGCAACACAGGAGACCCAGGUUACAUCCCUGGGUAAGGAA
rnacentral:tRNA from 1 species